rnacentral:rRNA from 1 species
UACGAAGGGGCUAGCGUUGUUCGGAAUCACUGGGCGUAAAGGGCGCGUAGGCGGCUUAUAAGUCAGGGGUGAAAUCCUGGAGCUCAACUCCAGAACUGCCUUGAUACUGAAGAUCUUGAGUUCGGGAGAGGUGAGUGGAACUGCGAGUGUAGAGGUGAAAUUCGUAGAUAUUCGCAAGAACACCAGUGGCGAAGGCGGCUCACUGGCCCGAUACUGACGCUGAGGCA